GAGUUUGAUCAUGGCUCAGAUUGAACGCUGGCGGCAUGCCUUACACAUGCAAGUCGAACGGUAACAGGUUAAGCUGACGAGUGGCGAACGGGUGAGUAAAUGUAUCGGAACGUGCCCAGUCGUGGGGGAUAACUGCUCGAAAGAGCAGCUAAUACCGCAUACGACCUGAGGGUGAAAGCGGGGGAUCGCAAGACCUCGCGCGAUUGGAGCGGCCGAUAUCAGAUUAGGUAGUUGGUGGGGUAAAGGCCUACCAAGCCGACGAUCUGUAGCUGGGUCUGAGAGGACGACCAGCCACACUGGGACUGAGACACGGCCCAGACUCCUACGGGAGGCAGCAGUGGGGAAUUUUGGACAAAUGGACGCAAGUCUGAUCCAGCCAUGCCGCGUGCGGG
rnacentral:rRNA from 1 species